rnacentral:rRNA from 1 species
AGAGUUUGAUCCUGGCUCAGAAUGAACGUUGGCGGCAUGGAUUAGGCAUGCAAGUCGUACGUGAAGGGGAGCUUGCUCCUCCGAUCAGUGGCGAAAGGGAUAGUAACGCGUAGACACCUACUUCUGGACGGGGAUAGCUGCGGGAAACUGCAGGUAAUACCCGAUAAUGACGAGAGUCCAAGGUGUAAUUCCUUCAGAAGACGGAUCUGCGUCCUACCAGAUAGUUGGCGGGGUAACGGCCACCAAGUCUAAGACGGGUAGCGGGUGUGAGAGCAUGACCCGCAUCACUGGGACUGAGACCUGCCCAGACACCUACGGGUGGCUGCAGUCGAGAAUCUUCGUCAAUGGGCGAAAGCCUGACGAGCGAUGCCGCGUGCGGGAUGGAGGCCUUCGGGUUGUAAACCGCUGUCGAAUUGGAGGAAUGCAUAGUGUAGAAUUAUGCUUGACUGAUAGUAGAAGGAAGGACGGGCUAAGUUCGUGCAGCAGCCGCGGUAACACGAACCGUCCAAACGUUAUUCGGAAUCACUGGGCUUAAAGGGUCGUAGGCGGCGUUUUAAGUAAGGUGUGAAAUCCCACGUCUCAACCGUGGCACUGCGCUUUUACUGGAAUGCUUGAGUAAGAUAGAGGUAAGCGGAACUGAUAGUGGA